GAACCCCCCCUCGCCGACAAUUGUACCGCAAUGUCGCGACGGCGGUUAUCCCAAGGGUUAUUCUAAAAAAAACCUUUCUCAUUAGGGUAAAAAGCUUUUAGAAAAAAAAGGGGCAAGACCGGUGCCAGCCGCCGCGGUAACACCGGCAGCUCAAGUGGUAGCUGUUUUUAUUGGGCCUAAAGCGUUCGUAGCCGGUUUGAUAAGUCUUUGGUGAAAGCUUGUAGCUUAACUAUAAAAAUUGCUGAAAAUACUGUCAGACUUGAAGUCGGGAGAGGUUAGAGGUACUACCGGGGUAGGGGUGAAAUCCUAUAAUCCUGGGAGGACCACCUGUGGGGAAGGCGUCUAACUGGAACGAUCUUGACGGUGAGUAACGAAAGCCAGGGGUUCGAACCGGAUUAAAUACCCGGGUAGUCUUGGCCGGAAACGAUGUGGACUUGGUGUUGGAAUGGUCUCGAGUUGUUCCGGGGCCAAAGGGAAGCUGUUAAGUCCACCGCCUGGAAAGUACGGUCGCAAAACUAAAACUUAAAGGAAUUGGGGGGGGAAAGGGCAAAUUCUUUUAAACUUGCAGGACUAGUCCCUUUAGUGAGGGUUAUUUCUGAGCUGGGCGUAAUCAUGGCCAUAGCUGUUUCCGAA
rnacentral:rRNA from 1 species